CCUGCCGCGCGGAGUCGCCUUGGCAACUGCGGUCCCCGCAGAUUGGCAGCCAGAGCCUGCGCUGUGCUGGGGCGAGAGUGUCGCGCCAGCCGCCGUCCCAGGACUUUUAUUUCAACUGUGACCUGUGUAGCAGCCGCAACUCCCAAACCCGGGAGGAAAAGAAUGAGAAAUAGAGGCUGGGAAAGAUUUAAAAAGAUUGAACAUCAAGGGAGAUUUCGGCUCCCAGGACCUUGACCUCGCUACGUGAGCUGAAAACGCCCAGGUGAUGUUGCAGUUGCUGUGCUGGACGAUGAGGGCCCAGGGGCGGGGGCCUGACGCAGGUCUUUGCAGCUCUAAGCUCAGUUUACGCCAUCUCUCAACAUUAAAAUAUUGUGUACUGGGGUAUAAUAAUAAAACUGUGUACAGAUGCAUACUAUACUAAAACUUUCACUUAAAGGAAAAGGGGCCUUUAAAGAAAAAACCGCACAGGGGCAUCAUUUGGGCUAGUGAAGGCCCUUUUUCCUCCAUCUUUAUUAAGGUAUAAUUUACAAAAAUUGUUUUUACGGCGCACAUGUGAUGUUUUGAUUAUGUAUAGUGUCAAAUCUACACAGCUUCUGAAAACAGAAUACUAUUGUUUCACUCCUCCAUACUUUUGCUUAAACUGGCCCUUCUGCCUGGAAUAAUCAGCCAUCUCCACGCCGCCCCAUCAAUUCAGGUGCUAUCUCCUUGAGGAAGUUCCCUCCUGAAAAGUGUUUUUUAGAUUCAGUGUGACCUGUACUCAUUCGUCUACCCCUUAUGUUUGGCACACACAUUCUUUCUAAAGUAUCAUGACAGAGGUCACGUCAAAUGAAAUGGGAUCUGUCCCUUGAUUGUGUCAGCCCUGUCUUUAGGAUGCCUUUAGAGUGGUGUCUGAAACCGUCCCUACAUAGUUCAUCAAAUUAAUCUGGGAAAAAGGGGUGGGGGGAACGAAAAUAAACCAAGCUUGCGGCACACUGAGGAUUAAUCAUUAGGUCAACUUGCUGUCUGAUCCCUUCCUCAUAAUUGUUUGCCUGUUGCUUCAGAAUCAUGUAGACCCUGUUACAAGGUUAUAGUUUCCCCUAACUGCUCUACAGACAACUUGAACAUUAUGAAAUGUUGAGUUUGUGCUUUGAGAUAAUCUUUCAGGUCCUUCAUGCUGAUGAAACUACUGACUCAGCUGGUCUGAAGGACCACCAGGAGCUGACUCACCAAAGAAUGCAGUUCCCACAUCCUGAUGAUUUCAUCCCCCUUACCUGAGCCAAUCAACGACCCUAAUUUUCCAGCCUCUUGCCCUCCAGGAUCCCCUUAAAAACCCCAAUACAGAACUCCUCGAGGAGAUAAAUUUGAGGGUCUCCUCCCAUCUCCUCUCAGUGCCCUGCCAUCACUAAACUCUUUCUCUGCUGCAAAUCUUGCUGUCUCAGUGUAUACUGUGCAGUGGGCAUAUGAAUCUGUUGGUCCUGUAGUGGAUACUGUGGCACACCACCCAGAUCCCCCUCUUCAAGACCUAAGCAGGCAUUCCUCCAGCUGCUGAGUACUGCCAAAGAGAAGCACCUCUCCCCAUGGGUAUACCCCCUUUCUGGGGAACAGCUAGUCAAGUAACUGGUUGAAACGGGGGUAUAAAAGCCCUUAAACCAAUGUAGGACUACUUUGCUUGGGCAUCCCAGCUCCAGAGGUCCCCAUCCUAUUGGUUGUGUGAUGACUGAACUUUCACCCAACUUUUCUCUCUGCCCAAAUCUGCUAUCCCCUAUCAGGUAAGCAUCAAUAGCACCCACUGUCGAGCCAGACUUCUAGGCUUGGCAUUUUAUCAGCAGUGGGUAAGUUACUUCUCUGUCUUAUCUGAUACCUCUGUAAAAUAAUAAUACCUACACCUCAAAGAGUUCUUUAUGAUGAUUACAUAAUGUAUGUAAAGUCCUUUGCACAGUCUCUGGCAUAUAAGAUAUGAUCAGUAAAUGUCAGUAAUUAUUUCUAAUUUGGAAUUCUACCAUAGUAUUACAUUUUCUAAAUCAGAGCAGGUGUAGGUGUAUGGAGAGGUCAGAUUAUUUUAAACCUUAAAGGCUUAGAGCUGGAAAAAAAUGCUCAUGCAGCAGCUCAACUUACUUAUUUACCUACAAUGAAGAUUAACAGGAGCUCAGGGAACAAUAGCUGUAAUUUAUUGAGGGCCCUCUGGAUUUCAGGCAUACGAACAUGCAUCAUUUCUUUCAAAUGCAACAAUAACCUUGUGACACAGACACUACUGCCAUUUUAAAAACAAAAUAAGGGCUGGAGGUUAAGUGAUGUGUUGAAAGUCACAGCUAGCAAUUGAUAGAGGGAGCUGCAAACCCAGAACCCUUUUCUUUCUAUGCCCAUGGGCUUUCCAAUAUACCACACUGCUUUUUUCCUUAAAGCCAGGAUUAGAACCCCAGAAUCCUGACUCAAAGUAUGGUUCCAUUCUCCAAUGUAGCCUCCUCUCCAAAAUGAGACACUGGCAGCCAUGUAAGUCAGUAGGAGUAAAUUUGCUUGAGACAAAACUGAAACAAGAUGGUAUCAGCACACUGCUAUGUAAUAUCACAUGACCCUUUUAUGUCUGAUAAAAUAAGUCUCAUAACGCAUCAGCAGUUGGGAUUACAAAUACCUGGGUCUUCAUGCUAUAAGGAACAAAAGAGAUAAUAAAUACCAGGAAUCAUACACAAGACUCCAUAAGAAACAGGGAGCAAACUGAUAGUCUUCUGACAGUAAAUACACCAUCUGCCUUCAUCAUAGUCAUCACUGCUUUCAGCCAAGAAGGCAUAGAUCCAAACAAAGCAGGCAGACGAGUUGCUUCACAACGCAGGUAUGUGGAUCCAGCCUUGAACGCUGCUCAAACCUGGGGCUGCCUCCUUGACAGGAUUUCUAAGACACCUCUCUGCCUUAACUUCUUACGUUUCAUACAGUAAUGGAACAGGCUGAGAACACGUCCAUAUGUGCCUUUAAAAACAUUUCAAACUGGAAAGAGAAAGGUUGGCAUGGGGAAGGAGAUAUGUCUAAAGUCUCUGAAGUCAUAGAUAUGAAUCCAGCUACUGACAAACCUUGGCAAAUUACAGUGUAGCUAUUAAAGCUUCAAAGAUUAAGAAAGUAAAGACAGAGGUAUUUGACAUGCUAUGUGGUUAAGACUUUGUUACUUGAAUAGGCUGAGAUUACAUUUUAAGAAAAGCUUUAUAAUUUUUCAGAUAAAUUGUUGAUAGAGUCAUACAGUUUCAUGAAACAUUAGUGUUUGGAACUGAUCAGGAAAGACACCUCAUACAUUUUUCUUGGUGCCUCUGUCAGAAACAGCUGACAGUACUCCAAGUUCAUUAGACCUUCAACAUUUUUUUGACAAUGAUGUGCUGUAAGGCCACACGAAGGCAGAAAUUCAUGUUUUCAUCAACUCAGCAUAGGCUUUUUCUGAUUAAAUUCAUUUAUAAUGGAAAGUUCAACUAAGUAUGAAAUAUGGUUCCAUGUUUACAUUUGAAUUGAAAUGUUAUCAUAGCAAUCUUUCCUCUUGAUUAUCAACUGUUCUAGCAACAGCUCAUGCCAACUUUUUUAAUUCCUGAGGAAUGGUCACAAUAUUCCAUCACCUCCUCCUUCCCCCUCUUCCCUUCCUCUGCUGUGCCAGCACCCCAGCUGCCUACCUGACUCCACUAUUCCUAUUUCCUCAAUUCCUUUUAUUUGGUAUCAAAACCACAGUUUCUCAGUUACUUUGGAAUAUAUUUUUUCUUUGACUUUCUUUUGGGUCUAAUGCUACUUGUUUUAUCCUUAUCUCAUGCCCUACCCAUAUCAGGGACACAAAAAUACAAGAAGUUUAAACUUUACCAAUCCUUGACAGACCUCUCCUUGAUAGUUGAGGUUACUUUUCCUUGGAAAGAGAACCAUUUUUAUUGACUUUGGUUAUUCAUUUAAUAGUUUUGUCUUAUAGGUCAGGUCACUUUGGCAAUAAAUUAAAAAUGCAGACUUCUGAAGUGACAAAAUGCAAACUUCAUAAAAGAGCCAAAAACAAACUAACAGGAAACUUUCUUAAUACAAAACUAAAUAGAUAAAAAUCAAGAACACUGUGAAACAAAUAAUAUACAAACCUUUAUUCAAAGAUAAUUCAAGAAGGACAUGUUUUGGUCAUUUUUAAAGUGAGAUUAAUUGAAGAUCUCAGAAAAACUGUAUCUGAUCAACACACAUGGCUACUGACAGAAAGUUCUCUCUUCUGUUAAUAGCAGCUAAAUUUAUACACACAGAAAAAUUCUUAAGACCAUGCAAAUUCAGUUGAAUUCCAUACAUUCAUUAUAUUCAUCAAAAACCUGCAGUAAUGUUCAUGCCAAAGUGUUAAUUUGAGAAAAAAAUUAAAAAUACACACCAAAACAUGACCAAGAUUAAACUAAA